GAUGAACGCUAGCUACAGGCUUAACACAUGCAAGUCGAGCGACCGGCGCACGGGUGAGUAACACGUAUCCAACCUGCCCUUUACUCGGGGAUAGCCUUUCGAAAGAAAGAUUAAUACCCGAUAUAAAGGAUGGGGAUGCAUUCCAUUAGGGUGUUGGUGAGGUAACGGCUCACCAAGCCUUCGAUGGAUAGUUGUUCGGAGAGGAAGGCCCACCGGAUUGGAACUACGGCACGGACCACACUCGGAGGGGGGGCAGCAGUAAGGAAUAUUGGGGAAGAAGCGCUAACCUGGACCAGCCGAGUAGCGUAAAGGGUGAUGGGGUAUGAAUCGUCAGCUUCUUGUGUAGAAGAAGCUGUAUUAUAUUAAUAAGCAUCGGCUAACUCCGUGCCAGCCGCCGCGGUAAUAC
rnacentral:rRNA from 1 species